UUACUGUUUGAUGUUGGCUUACAAUCUGCGUGAUUCGUGGUUUCUGUUUCCAAUGGGCAUUUGAUUUUGUUUUAAGUCAAUGCGUAGAAAGUGAAUUACAGCAGCAUCGAUAAUACGUAAAAAGACAACCAAGCGGACAGUGAAAAUCGGAUUCGCCAAAAAAGCCCUGUUCGCUGCGUUUGCAUCUGCACGCGCUGCUAUUAGCCAAAGCAGAAGCAGUCAAUAAUUGGGCUCGUGUGCCUGCUGGACACGAAACCCUUCGUGUAGCCGCCGAUGCGUCUUUUAAUUCAAACGGCAACGGCAACGAGAGGCGUUGCAGGAGCUGGUCUGCAGUCCCAUUCGCAGUCUCAAUAUAAUUA